rnacentral:rRNA from 1 species
AUUGAACGCUGGCGGCAGGCCUAACACAUGCAAGUUGAGCAGAUGACGGGAGCUUGCUCCUUGAUUCAGCGGCGGACGGGUGAGUAAUGCCUAGGAAUCUGCCUGGUAGUGGGGGACAACGUUUCGAAAGGAACGCUAAUACCGCAUACGUCCUACGGGAGAAAGCAGGGGACCUUCUGGCCUUGCGCUAUCAGAUGAGCCUAGGUCGGAUUAGCUAGUAGGUGAGGUAAUGGCUCACCUAGGCGACGAUCCGUAACUGGUCUGAGAGGAUGAUCAGGCAAACUGAAACUGAGACACCGUCCAGCCUCCUACGGAGGGAAUCAGUGGGGAAGAUUGGACAAUGGGCGAAAGCCUGAUUCAGCCCUGCCGCGUGUGUGAAGAUGGUCUUCGGAUUGUAAAGCACUUUAAGUUGGGAGGAAGGGCAGUAAGUUAAUACCUUGCUGUUUUGACGUUACCGACAGAAUAAGCACCGGCUAACUCUGUGCCAGCCGCCGCCGUAA